rnacentral:misc_RNA from 1 species
GUUUGGACUGACGGUGGUUGAAGCUAUGACUUGUGGUCUUCCAACAUUUGCAACUUGUCAUGGUGGACCUAUGGAGAUCAUUCAGGACGGUGUAUCCGGGUACCAUAUAGAUCCUUAUCAUCCCAAUAAAGCUGCUGAGCUCAUGGUAGAAUUCUUCCAACGAUGCGAACAAAAUCCUACUCACUGGGAAAAUAUAUCUGCAUCUGGCCUACAAAGGAUUCUCGACAGGUAUACAUGGAAAAUUUACUCGGAGAGGCUGAUGACUUUGGCUGGUGUAUAUGGUUUCUGGAAGCUUGUUUCAAAACUCGAGAGGCGUGAAACUAGACGAUACCUCGAGAUGUUCUACAUUCUCAAGUUCCGUGAGUUGGUAAAAUCUGUUCCUCUAGCAGUUGAUGAGAAGCAGUGAGGAUUUUGCAAAGGAAUAAAUAACGUGGAGCAUACCACUCUAU